UGAGGUUAUGGUAAUAUUUUACACAUCUUUUUUCAUUAAGACACAGUCAUAGCUACUGUUGAGGCACCGGAGGCAACUCCUGUCGAUUGAUGGAAAAAAAUAAAAAAGGAAAGCAGGAAAAUAGCUUUUAUAUUUGGAUUUCAUCCUGCACCAUGACAGCACAGCUGAAUGCCUGUGAUGACACACAACUGUGAUUCAUGCAGCAGACCUGCAAAGCCAAUAAUCAGGAUGGACAGGCUCGCAAAGUGACGUGAAAGCUGCUGGUGGGUGAAAGGAAUGAAAACCAGAAUAAGAGAGUGUGAUAUUUCUCAGAACCAGACUGCGGACACUGCAGGAAGUUGAAGAAACACAGCCAAAAUGAAAGGAUCAGGUCAAGCCAAAGCUGUCGCUGUCAUGCACCAUCCAUAUGUUUUGGGUUUUUUUUUAACCUUUCGGCUGCCAGUGUUUUUCCAUUUUGCCAGCCAAAUGAACACAGCUCAAGAAUGCCCAUCAGUAUCCAUGCCCAUCAGUAUCUGUGGCAGCCAUUGGAUUACUCUCCUGUUUCACUGACCUGUAGAUGGAUGUGCCCAGCUUGUCCUUUGUGCAAGAAGCCAACAUCCAUAGGGUUGGAAUAACAAGUAUUCAGGACGCAGUAUUUGCUAUGAAAUUUAUCAAAGGGAAUUAGCUACAGUCAGGGCCAGAUUAAGACCUUUAGAGGCCCUAAGCACUGAAAAGAUUAUGGUGCCCCACCAUAUGUAAUUCCAAAUAAAAACAAUACUAUACCAUAAAACAAAAUUUUAUUUUUCGAAAUGACAAAAAUCUUACAUGUAUGGUGAAAUUAAAAUAGCUUCUUUCUAGAUUUUCUGAUUGCAAAAUUCCGGAUAAGUUCAUCGAAGCUGACUUGACGAAGCAUGUCCGCUUCCAUACACAGUAGGGAAAGUGAAUCUAGUCUGUCCUGACACAUUGUUGUUCUCUGAGGGUUUUUUAUUCUUUUCAGCUGAGAAAAACAGCGUCCUGCAGAGCAGUUAGUAAUCAUCAAUGUUAGAAAAAUACGUAGUGCAAUCUCUACAUUUGGAAAUACACAUUGUACUCCAUCUUUCAAUAUUGUGUCAUGAAGAUCAAUGUGACUGAAUUUCAUUUUUCCUGUUUCAUUAAACUUUGCACGCAUAUAACAGUGGAACUGCCGUACUUCUCCACAGAGAUUCAUGUUCAAGUCAACAGGGUAUGAGUCAACUUGCUUUUGGGAACCUUGUGAAUAUUGUUCGUCAGAUAAGUCCAUAUUGUUUAGAAAAGAAAAUCUACUUGAUACUUCUUUGUACACUUCACCUCUCCUCUUCAUAUGAGCUUGAAGUGUAUCAAUUAUAGCGUAGUAAGUCGAUACGCAAAAUUUGUCUCCAGGAUUCAAUGCUGUUUCUGUUGCACUGCUGUCAUUUGCUGUUUUUUUCCUGAUUCGCUUGCGGGACUGGGCUUCUUUGUAGUUAGUAUCAGGCAAGAUAUCUUUUGAUACGUCUUCAAAUCUUUCAAAAUCAUUCCUCAAAGUGUGUAAGUGGUCUGCUAAUGAUUGACAGAGGUCUGCACAUGUUUUCAAAUCCAAUUCUUUUUCUUGGAGAGCUUGACUUGUGUGGUAAAAGUGUUGUAAAAUUUCAUUCCACAUGGACAACAUGAACACAAACUCUAGUUCUUGCAUCUUGUUUGCAAUGUUUUCUGCCUCUCGUAUAGUUUCUCCCUUCUCUGAUUGGUCUUCGGCUGUACUUUCUAAUGCAUCCACAAUCUUUGAGUAGGACUCCAGAAUUGCACUUGUAGCCACUGCAUGUGCCUCCCAGCAAGUAUUAGAAAGAGAUUUCAACACACGAUCAUUGCCCAAAUAUGUUUUAAGAACUGCCCAUCGGUGUGUUGAGGCAGAGAAAAAUGUAUGAAGUAACUGGACUGUUGAGAAAAAACGUACUGCCACCGGACAACAAUCAACAGCUCUGCGGCCAAGACGACUGGGAGAGUACGCAGCACAUGGUAUGAAUAUGGCAUAUUUGUUCUGUUCGAAAAGCUUCUUCUGCACGGUCCGUGAUAACGCCCUGACAUGCUGGCAGCGUUGUCGUAAGAUUGACCCCUGCACUUUGAGAAAUCUACUUUGCAAAUUUGGCACAGAUAAUGCAGUACUUGAUUUGCCAUUUCUUCACCAGUGUGGCUUUUCAAAUUGAGGAAUGUUAUAAAUGACAGGAUCAGAUUUCCUCGCAUUAUUCCGAUCUAUCUUAGUAGGAAGCCCCCCUGGUUUAGGUGGGGAUAAGUAAUAAAAAGAGAACAGAAAAAUGGGGGAAGAGUGUGUCGUGGAGUGUAAGGAAGUCUAACAAAGUUCUGAUUUUUCCCAUGAUGACUACUUCGAUGCUUUUUAAAAAAAUAUCAAAUACCAAAUUUUUUCAAAAAACACCCCUCAUUUUUUGGUGCCCCCCUGCUUUGCUGGUGCCCUAAGCAUGUGCUUAGUCUCCCUAUUGGGUAAUCCAUCCCUGGCUACAGUAAGUGAACAAUAACUUUAAAUGGCAGGGCUACAAAAAGAACCAAGGCUGAUAAAGGCAAACCAGUAAUUACAAUAUUAGUGGUGUACGCACACUGACUUUCUAAACCAUUUUAAAAUUAAAUAAUGCAUUGUCUAUCCACAAUGCCUUCUAGUCAAGAAGCCCAACAGGCUUUACAACUGGAACCUCGUUGUACCCUAGGCCAGAGCAUCCCCUCCAAUGGAACGAACUGUGCGAGGGGCCUCCGGGGGAAGAAAUCUAUUCAAGCUAGCCCUUCUCUGAUGGUUCUGUCAGGGUGAGGUUGCCCCCUCGACAGCUAGGCUCUGGGGCCUUCCCCCACCAAACUUGGCAAUCCAGCCCUGCUGAGGCCCUGUGCUUUUGCCCUUGCUUGGUCACCCCAGUGCUCUCCACUCCCAGAGUCGGGGGUCCAUGGGAAAAAUAAUAUAGCCUCAGGCUUUAUUGUUUCUGCGGCACCUCCAUGAAGUGGGAUGGGGAGAUGAGGUAUGGCCUCACUGGCCCCUGCCCUCAGUGUGACCACUUUUGCCAUCUAGCACCCCAAGCUUCCUAGUCUGGAUCCAUGAAUCGUUGUCUUUGGCAACUUAUGACACACCUCAUGUGCCAUGCACCCCCACAUACACCCAAUGUGUCAUACAUAUUUGUGAGGAAGAGUCACCCCGUGAGGUGUGUAUUAUUAGGCCCAUUUUACAGAUGGGCACACUGAUGCAUAGAGGAUUAAGUGAUUUGCUUAAGAUUACCCAGUACAUCAGAGCUGCAAAUACAACACUGGAUUCCUAACUCCAAGCGCCUUAUAACCAAUAGGCAGCACUUUCUUUCCUAAUUAUGUUCAUAAUUCCCUCCCCAUCAGAAGGAAAAGAACUCAUUCUAUGGCUAGUGUAUUUGAUUAGUUUGUUUCCAAGGUGAGAUGCCAGCUGUGAUUAUUCUAUCUAAAUAGUUUAAAAUACUAAUUUCAAAUGACAAGACGUUUAAAAAUUGGGAUUUUCGUCACAACUGGCUUGAAGGGAGAAGAAUCGUAUAUUUGAUUUUACUUAGUGUUCAUACUGGAGGAA